rnacentral:rRNA from 1 species
AGGACGAACGCUGGCGGCGUGCCUAACACAUGCAAGUCGAGCGGGGACAUUGCGACGGACAUGAAGAUUUCGGUUGGAUUGAAAGAUGUAAUGUUCUAGCGGCGGACGGGUGAGUAACGCGUGAGCAACCUGUCCCUUACAGGGGGAUAACACAGCGAAAGUUGUACUAAUACCGCAUAAGACCACAGAGCGACAUCGCUUAGGGGUCAAAGGAGUAAUCCGGUAAGGGGUGGGCUCGCGUCCGAUUAGAUAGUUGGUGAGGUAACGGCCCACCAAGUCGACGAUCGGUAGCCGACCUGAGAGGGUGAUCGGCCACAUUGGGACUGAGACACGGCCCAAACUCCUACGGGAGGCAGCAGUGGGGAAUAUUGGGCAAUGGGGGAAACCCUGACCCAGCAACGCCGCGUGAGGGAAGAAGGUUUUCGGAUCGUAAACCUCUGUCCUUGGUGAAGAGAAAGAGACGGUAGCCAAGGAGGAAGCCCCGGCUAACUACGUGCCAGCAGCCGCGGUAAUACGUAGGGGGCGAGCGUUGUCCGGAAUGAUUGGGCGUAAAGGGCGCGUAGGCGGCCCGGUAAGUCUGGAGUGAAAGUCCUGCUUUUAAGGUGGGAAUUGCUUUGGAUACUGUCGGGCUUGAGUGCAGGAGAGGUAAGUGGAAUUCCCAGUGUAGCGGUGAAAUGCGUAGAGAUUGGGAGGAACACCAGUGGCGAAGGCGAC